rnacentral:lncRNA from 1 species
AGUGUAGUCAGCAGAGGUGAGCAGCAGAGGCUGGCAGCUCCGGGCGGUGUGUCCUCCCAGCUGUGUGGCUUCUAGGCGGCAGUCUCCAACUCUGGACAGCAGGAGGAGGCAGUGGCCACAAACAACUAGCAUCCAGUAGCUCAUCAGGUCUGGUCAAGGGUUCCACUCCCUCCCUCCUCAGUUACCUUCUCUGCCACCCAUCCACCUCCCAUGAAGCCUGCUUCAACCCUCCCGCUAGCAGACCCUCAGCCCACCCAUCUGCCUGCAUAGUCUGUUGCUGCUCCUUCCACCCCGUGACCAUCCUGGUGGCCUUCUUCCUGCCGCCAGGCCUGGAGCCAAAGACUGGUCACAUGUAGCAGAUGAUGGCCCUAAACUGCAUCUGCAAGGAGCUUCUAAACCUGUGCCACAGAUACCCCCACUCCCCAUGUUCGGGAGGGCCAGUGGACAACGACAUGUUUCACUGGCAAGUGAAGAUAAUGGGGCCCAAGGAUAGCCCCUAUCAGGGAGGAGUCUUCUUCUUAAGGAUACAGUUCCCUUCAAAGUAUCCUUUCAAACCACUGAAAAUCAUGUUCUCCGCCUGAAUUUACCAUCCAAACAUUAACAGAAAUGGAAACAUCUGUCUGGACAUUCUUAGAUCUGAGUGGUUGCCAGCACUGACCAUCUCGAAAGUACUGUUAUUCAUUUGCUCCAUGUUGUGCUAUCCCAACUCAGGUGAUCCUUUGGUGCCUGAAAUAGAUUAGCUCUACAGAAAGGAUAAGUGGAAGUUUGAUAGAAUUGCUCUGGAAUAGAUUCAGAAAUACCUCAUGUAAUUUAAAAAUAAAUGAUAAUUCCAUCGCCCUAAUAAAGCUGGGAGUUCAA